ACUGGCCCCCCCGGCACACGGGGACACCCUGGCACCCCCGGGACACCGGUGAGUCCUUCACUUCCCAUCGGGUUUGGGGUUUGCUCCCCAACAGGGAUCGCAUCCCGCUGGGAUGGGGCUUUGAUCCCGCCUGCCUCCCGCUUCCCUGGGCCUUGUCCUUCUCUUCCAGGGCUUGUCUGGACCCAAAGUGAGUACAGGGGAGUGCUUGGAGCUGGGCUCAGCCCUGCCAUGGGCACCCUCCCCUCCUGCCCUGUCCCUGAGGUGUGGGGUGGCCCCAUGGGGCACCCUGGGGUGCAGCUCCACACAGCAGCAGCUCCCCCUUUGCUUCUCUUCCCUCCUCCACCUCCUCCUUCGGCAGGGGCUGAAAGGCUUCCCAGGGCUGCCGGGACCCAGGGGUGCACCAGGGCUGCCAGUAAGUGGGAUCCCCAACGUGCCAGAACACAGGUCCCUUGCUCCCGCAGUGCUGUGGGGGCCAUGCCAUGGGGAUAGCACCAUUGGAGGAGCUGUGAGCGUGGCAGUGGGCUCAGGGGCAGCAGCCACUGUCACCAGCGUUGUCAUUGUCACACAGGGCCNNNNNNNNNNNNNNNNNNNNCGGCCCCCCUGGCCCCAGUGGACCCGUGCUGAUGCUGUCCAGGGAGGAGCUACAGCACCUCAUUUAUCCCUCCAACCACCUGAACUACACUGCGGUCUGGGCUCUGCUGGACACCCUGAGCCAGGAGCUGCGAGCUCUUGUGGAGCAUCCCAACGGCACCAAAGCCAACCCGGCAGCCACCUGCAAGGAGCUGCUGCUGGCUUACCCUCACCUCCCUGAUGGUACCGGGGUGCACAAGGGGGGACCCCGGACCCGGGCAGUGUUACACCAGCAUUAACAGGGGAUGAGGAUGUGGGGGAUGAGCUCAAUCGGGUUCCAUCCCUGGAGGAACGGGGGAGCAGACAGGCUGAAUCCCAAGAGGAUGGAGGUUACAGCCAGGGAUACACCAUGAACUGAGGUGGGAUGGCACCAGGUGGCAUCCUCCCCAUGCCAAAACCCUGGUGCCAGGAGCUCUCCUCUGCCUCUCUCCAGGGCAAUACCACAUCGACCCCAACCAGGGCAGCUCCCAGGACGCGCUGGUGGCCUUCUGCAA
rnacentral:lncRNA from 14 species